UACCCUAUAGACAGAAGCCAGCCACAAGGCCACUCUUCCGCCUGAUUGGUGUUAACUAAAAAUGCUUUCAAAUGCUGGCAAAUGUCUCCAGCACCCCUUGCCUUCAGAACUGAGGUGUAGAUCAAUUUGGGCUGAUGGUUUUUGACUGAUGGGCUGCCAGGGAAACCAGCAAGAUUACUCCUUACUAAAAGGAACUUUGCUUAAGGAAGAACUGAGUUAAGUCCAGUUCGACACUUUCCAGAUCCCCACAGGGUUUGCCAAAGCCACAGUUACUCAAGUAAGCUUCAUGCGCUCUGCUGAAAAGCGGCUACAACAAUAAAAAGUGCCUCAAGAUCCGGGCUCCUUAGAUCUGUGCCAGUGCCAGGAGAGGCGCUUGCAGCUACAGUGGUAGGGAGGUGAAUUUCACAGACUGGAAAGUAUUUGGGACUUGGAACAAGAGUCCUGAAAAAUAAGCUGGCCGCUGGACACCAAAUGUGCUUCACAGUUGCUGCUGGGGCUUGAUUUUUUUCCGUAGAGGCUGUUUUGAGCUCCAGGUACUUUGGAUUAAAAAGCGAGGUCUCUUUCUUACAGAUUUACGAGAAGGUGGAUACUGAAAAUUCAGGGCUGGGCUAAGAAAUGGAAAAUCUUUUGUGCCUUUAGCAGGUGGGAACUGGAGCCCCUGCGUUGGGGAGCCUCUGGGACUGUGUCUGGAGGCAAAGGUGCUCCCCAUUGUGCCCCUCUAAGGGGACUUGGGGGCUGGAUCUGUGCCUCAGUCAGCAGGAUGCUAUAGAACGUAUAAGCCCUAGCACCACAAACCCCAUAAACUCACUGUGAUGGAGGUGGUGCAUGCCUGGAAGCCCUGCAGUUGGGAGGAGGUCAAGGUGAUUCUGGGCUCCUAGGCUACGCAAGGAGUUUGACGCCAACCAGGGUUGCCUGAGACUGUCUCAAAAGACAACCAAACAACACCAACAAAAGCCAUAGCCCAAGAAAUCCCAAGAGACCCACGGGGCAACUUGAACAAACAAAAGCAUCAUUUCCCCAGACCGAGGACUGCCUUGGUGCUGUGAGCAUAACCUGGUGGCCUAAAUCUAUAAUUUGGACUGAAUAUUUUGGUCCAACUUAUAAAUGGAAUUUCUUCAGGUGAUGGAAGGGAUUCAGUAGAAUCAUCUUUGGAUCAUUUCUGAAGGGGACACAACUAAGUCAAAAGCUAGAUUUUAUUUUAUUUAUUUAUUUAUUUUGGAAAAAAAUAGUGAAGACAUGCUUUCUCUGCAAAAAUUUAACUGUACUAGAAGGCACAUCCCUGAAAACGGUUUGGAAAAGUUCAAAGAGUAUGUGGACAAGGACUAUCCGUGUAACCUUAGGCUUACAUCUUAUAGAGAGUGACAAGGACACAGAAGCUAGGAAGAAGACUAUCAGGGGACGGUGGCGGGGGGGGGGGGUUGAAUACAUAAGCUCUGUGAUCUUCUGGGCAUGCAGAUAGCACAAGUGAGAUACAACAAGUUGCUAAAGCUUUUGCAGCCUAAUUUACUCUCUGAAGGGCUGGUCUUGGGGUGGAAAAGCUAAUUAGAAAAUAGCUUUAUGAUGUCUUAAUUUCCAAAGAAAACUAUAUGUUAAAGCUAAUAUUUGAACAGAAAGAGUCUGACUCAUUAGCAUUUAAAGAGGUGGGGACGUGAGGGGACAGUGUGUAUUGUGUGGCAGAGGCUUUUAAGGCAUUUCAGUGUGCAGCAGUGGCCACCUGUGUCCUGUCUUGCUCAGGGCAGUGUGAACUGGUAUUCUUUGUGGACUUGAACUGCAUGGUAGAGUUUUCUAGAAGGUCAGAAGUGCUUCAUGUUCCUGCUAACCAGAACAGUAGCUACUUGCCGUAUGUGCCCCCCCCCCCCCGUGCAAAUGAGGACGUGAACUUUUAAUUUUGUUUAAAUUAAAUAGUCACAUGUGGCUGCCACAUGAGUCGUGCAGAUGAGAAGAUGCAUCGGCAGAAAGCAUCGUGUGCUCUUAACACGGCGAAGGUUCUUCUGUUUCAUCCAACACGUCUUUAUCUUAAGGGGGAAAAAUGCAUUAGAAAAAGACUCCCUUACUGGGAGUCUAUGGUAGUGCUAUUUACAAUAAAAAGCUGAGAAUUACCUAAAUG
rnacentral:lncRNA from 1 species